rnacentral:misc_RNA from 1 species
CCGAACCCCUAAAAACCCCUCCAAAAUCAUGCGCCACCUUCUAACGGCCAUCCGGCGUCACCACCGUUUCACCUCCACUCUCCUCCGUGUUCGCCACUACAAACCGCCAAAGCAACCAACGCCACCGGCUCCGCCAAAACCUCCAAAACCGCCGCAGAAACCCCAAUCCUUCACAUUCCACGACGGCAUAUGGGAGGAUCCGUACAGCUGGAUGUCGAGCUUGAACGACAAGGUAGCGAUGCGCCACAUGGACGUGUACAUGGAGCAAGAAGAGAAAUACACGGAGGCCGUAAUGUCUGAUACUGAGAAGCUUCAAAGUAAGCUUCAGUCUGAAAUGGCGUCCAGGAUGCAGUUUGAUCUCUCCACUCCUCCCAUUCGCUGGGGACCAUGGUUAUACUAUCGAAGAGUUGAAGAAGGGAUGCAGUAUCCAGUGCUCUGUCGGAGAUUGUUAAGCUUAAAUGAAGAAUUCAUUUCCAACAAAUAUCCUGCUGGUGGAUUUGAUUUUACCUCUGGGAAAAGAAUUGAGCAGAAGCUGCUUGAUUAUAAUCAAGAAGCAGAGAGAUUUGGAGGCUAUGCAUAUGAAGAAUUAUCUGAAGUGUCGCCUGAUCAUCGGUUUCUUGCAUAUACUAUGUAUGAUAAGGAGAAUGACUGGUUUAAGUUAUCUGUAAGGAAUCUGAAUUCUGGUGCAUUGUGUAGUAAGCCUCAAGCAGAUAGGGUUUCAAAUUUGGCUUGGGCCAAGGAUGGCCAGGCAUUGCUUUAUGUUGUUACCAAUCAAUAUAAGAGGCCCUGCCGGAUAUAUUGUAGCAUGAUUGGAUCAACUGAUGAAGAUGUUUUGCUUUUAGAUGAACCGAAUGACAACGUUUUUGUUAACAUUAGACACACAAAGGAUUUUCACUUUGUGACUGUCAAUAUAUUUUCUACAACAUUUUCAAAGCUGAUCCAUUGUCUGGUAUGACAUUAGUUUGGGAAUGUGAGACUCUAGCCCACUGCGUGAUUGAACAUCAUCAGGGGUACCUUUAUUUAUUUACUGAUGCUGCUAGGGAGGGCCAGCUUGUUGAUCAUCAUUAUCUUCUACGUUGUCCUGUUGAUUCUUCUUCCAGUCCAAGGAAAUGGGAGGUAAUAUCCAUGCAGCUAGUGGGUGCCUAUAUCAUUCAUCAUCCAGUUUCAUUUAUUGCAGAGUAUAUUCAAUGAUGACCAAGAUUUGAUUAUUGAGGAUGUCGAUUUCUGUUACACACAUUUGGCAUUAAUUAUAAGGGAAGGUUGGAGCUUCAGACUUUGUUCUGUUCCUCUACCUUUGCCUUGUGGGAAGAAAGGAUUUGAUCUGGAAGAGCUUAACCCCAGAUUCCUCCCUCUUCCAAAAUAUGUUUCACAAAUUUCAGCUGGACCAAAUUAUGACUACCAUUCAUCAACCAUGCGAUUUACAAUAUCAUCGCCUGUGAUGCCAGAUGCUGUCGUUGAUUACGACCUAUCAAAUGGCAAGUGGAAUAUUAUUCAACAACAAAACAUGCUUUAUGAAAGAACAAGGAUUUUGUAUGGCACGGCCUCUUCUAUGAGUGUCGCCAAUGCAUCCUUGAAUAAUGUAAACUUUGGAUCUUCCAGUGAAGUCAGAUCUGAUGAUGAUAACUUGUGGAAUGACCUUGCAGAGUUUUAUGCCUGUGAACAUUAUGAUGUCUCUUCUUAUGAUGGAGUUUCAAUUCCUCUAACUAUCAUAUAUUCACGCAAACAUAAAUAUGCAAAUCAAAACCCUGGGUUGCUUCAUGGGCAUGGAGCUUAUGGUGAGUUGCUCGACAAACGAUGGCGUAGUGAGUUGAAGAGCCUUCUUGAUCGUGGUUGGGUUGUUGCGUACGCUGAUGUUAGAGGGGGAGGUGGUCAAGGUAAGAAGUGGCAUCAUAAUGGCAGACGUACGAAGAAACUUAAUUCCAUAAAAGAUUAUCUCUCCUGUGCCAAAUUUCUUAUUGAAAAUGAAAUUGUGCAAGAUAAAAAACUUGCGGGCUGGGGAUAUAGUGCUGGAGGUCUUUUGGUUGCUUCAGCCAUCAACUGUUGCCCAGAUUUAUUACGUGCUGCAGUUUUGAAGGUUCCCUUUCUGGAUCCAACCAACACCCUUCUCUAUCCCAUUUUACCGCUUACUGCAGCUGACUUUGAAGAGUUUGGAUACCCUGGGGACAUUGAUGAUUUUCAUGCCAUACGAGAAUAUUCUCCGUAUGACAACAUUCAGAAGGAUAUCCUUUACCCUGCUGUAUUGAUAACCUCAUCUUUUAACACACGAUUUGGGGUUUGGGAAGCCGCAAAAUGGGUUGCUCGAGUUCGCGAACGAGCUAUUCAUGACCCCAGCCGUCCGAUACUGCUUAAUUUAACAACAGAUAUUGUGGAGGAGAACAGAUACUUGCAGUGCAAGGAGUCGGCACUGGAAACUGCAUUUCUCAUAAAAAUGAUGGAAUCAUGAAAUUGAUUUUAUUAGUCCCACCCCGUCAUCCGAACCUUGAAUCUUUCUGAUUUUUAUCACAGGUAACGAAGUGGGGGAUUCAUCUUUGCAAAGAGCAAUCUUUAAGAUCUUUAUCAACCUUUAAUUACCAACCAGGAUCCAAUCGGGAGCUAAAGCACUGCAUUCAAUUAUAUACAUGUCACACUCGGUGGUUGUGGUGUUUUAUGGAUUAGGAAUCGACUUUGUGAGAUUGGCUGAUCUGGCCCACUUAUACUGGAUUAACAUGCUAAAGCUGCCAAUGGAAUCACGACAGAAACUACAGAUUGUGCACGGAGAGCAGACCUCCAAUUGCUGGUGAUGGGUUGCUUUCGCAUAUUGAGACUUGUAAAUUUAUUAUUUGAAUGUAUAUAUCAAUCUAAUCCCUUAUCAUGAAACUUAAGAAAGUAAAAUUUUAAUUUGAUAUGGAAGAAGAUACCCUUAGCUUAUCUUUUGCUUAUAAAACUUGGGAACCUUCAUGAUGACUUUUUUUUUUGGCUGUAUAUUUGUUUAUGUAAAUAACAUUUUCUUAAUCAU